CAGUAGCCGCGGGAAUACGAAGGGGGCUAGCGUUGCUCGGAAUCACUGGGCGUAAAGGGUGCGUAGGCGGGUCUUUAAGUCAGGGGUGAAAUCCUGGAGCUCAACUCCAGAACUGCCUUUGAUACUGAAAAUCUUGAGUUCGGGAGAGGUGAGUGGAACUGCGAGUGUAGAGGUGAAAUUCGUAGAUAUUCGCAAGAACACCAGUGGCGAAGGCGGCUCACUGGCCCGAUACUGACGCUGAGGCACGAAAGCGAGGGGAGCAGACAGGAUUAGAUACCCGCGUAGUCCCUGUCUCUUAUAC
rnacentral:rRNA from 1 species